GACUCCAUCACUUUAGCAGUUAUGUUCUGAUCUCGGGGAACAUCCACUAACAAUGCAGGACCGUUGAGAACGGCGAGAUCGAGUGUAUCGACAUCAAACCCCGCAUCGAAGUAAUGAUCAAACACGUGGCCGGGGGCGUCAACAUGGGUGCCGGUGUGGGUGCCCAUCUUCAUCUCCGAAUUAUUAGCAAUCGAUCCGUUUUUCAUGGACUUGGGGAGCGAUAUGUACUGUCCAAC
rnacentral:misc_RNA from 1 species